GGCCUGUUAGCUCAGCUGGUUAGAGCGUGGUGCUAAUGACGCCAAGGUCGUGGGUUCGAUCCCCACAUGGGCCA
rnacentral:tRNA from 1 species